rnacentral:pre_miRNA from 2 species
AGUAAAAUUGCUGGGUCACAUGGCAACUUUAUGUUUAACUUUUUGAGGAACUGCCAAACUGUUUUCCAAAGUAGUUGCACCAUUUUACAUUCCUACCAGCAAU